AUUGAACGCUGGCGGCAGGCCUAACACAUGCAAGUCGAGCGGAUGAAGGGAGCUUGCUCCUGGAUUCAGCGGCGGACGGGUGAGUAAUGCCUAGGAAUCUGCCUGGUAGUGGGGGAUAACGUCCGGAAACGGGCGCUAAUACCGCAUACGUCCUGAGGGAGAAAGUGGGGGAUCUUCGGACCUCACGCUAUCAGAUGAGCCUAGGUCGGAUUAGCUAGUUGGUGGGGUAAAGGCCUACCAAGGCGACGAUCCGUAACUGGUCUGAGAGGAUGAUAAGUCACACUGGAACUGGGACACGGUCCAGACUCCUACGGGAGGCAGCAGUGGGGAAUAUUGGACAAUGGGCGAAAGCCUGAUCCAGCCAUGCCGCGUGUGUGAAGAAGGUCUUCGGAUUGUAAAGCACUUUAAGUUGGGAGGAAGGGCAGUAAGUUAAUACCUUGCUGUUUUGACGUGACCAACAGAAUAAGCACCGGCUAACUUCGUG
rnacentral:rRNA from 1 species